AGGUAAUUCACAUAACGGUUCGUGACCGCAAAUUGUGGUCACAUGUCAAGAUUUUUGUUGUCUCUGCUACAACCGUGGUCACAUGGACUAUAUUUGACUAUAAUUUUUUGCAAUAUUGUGAUACAAACACAACGUGAUUGUGAUUUAAAAAACUUUGGUUAUUAUGCAUGUCACAUUAUUGAAGAUCAAGGUCUAACUUAGUUUGAUUAUUACCAAGAUGGCAGUGAAAAGAAUAGUAGGAGCAAAGUGGGGAGUCUGCAGUGGACAGGCAUGUAUAGCAAUCGAU
rnacentral:lncRNA from 1 species